AGCGAACGCUGGCGGCAGGCCUAACACAUGCAAGUCGAACGAACCUUUCGGGGUUAGUGGCGGACGGGUGAGUAACACGUGGGAACGUGCCUUUAGGUUCGGAAUAACUCAGGGAAACUUGUGCUAAUACCGAAUGUGCCCUUCGGGGGAAAGAUUUAUCGCCUUUAGAGCGGCCCGCGUCUGAUUAGCUAGUUGGUUGGGGUAAUGGCUCACCAAGGCGACGAUCAGUAGCUGGUCUGAGAGGAUGAUCAGCCACAUUGGGACUGAGACACGGCCCAAACUCCUACGGGAGGCAGCAGUGGGGAAUCUUGCGCAAUGGGCGAAAGCCUGACGCAGCCAUGCCGCGUGAAUGAUGAAGGUCUUAGGAUUGUAAAAUUCUUUCACCGGGGACGAUAAUGACGGUACCCGGAGAAGAAGCCCCGGCUAACUUCGUG
rnacentral:rRNA from 1 species